rnacentral:rRNA from 1 species
CCUACGGGAGGCAGCAGUGAGGAAUAUUGGUCAAUGGGCGAGAGCCUGAACCAGCCAAGUCGCGUGAGGGAGUACUGCCCUAUGGGUUGUAAACCUCUUUUGUCGGGGAGCAAAAGCCGGACGUGUCCGGCUGUGAGAGUACCCGAAGAAAAAGCAUCGGCUAACUCCGUGCCAGCGGCCGCGGUAAUACGGAGGAUGCGAGCGUUAUCCGGAUUUAUUGGGUUAAAAGGGGGCGCAGGCGGAUUUUUAAGUCAGCGGUCAAAUCGUGGGGCUCAACCCCAUCCAGCCGUUGAAACUGGGGAUCUAGAGUGUGCGAGAGGUAUGCGGAAUGCGUGGUGUAGCGGUGAAAUGCAUAGAUAUCACGAAGAACUCCGGUUGCGAAGGCAGCUUACUAAACUGCCACUGACAUUGAUGCUCGAAAGUGUGGGUAUCAAACAGGAUUAGACACCCGUGUAGUC